AUGGUUGCAUACAUACAAAGUUCACAUAACUUGUGUCAACUAGCAACUUGUAUUCAAUAUGCCAUUGGUUUCAGGGACAUACAUUUGCUAGUAAUGCUAAACCUAUGGGGUAGUGCUUGGUCUGGCUUGUCUGGAAGGAAAACUGAGGAAGGGCCGGCAGCGACUGGAAGCAGAGGAGCGUCGGGGCGAGAUGGAGAUGGAGAGGUUACUCGUGACAGACUUGAGCCCGUCCAGGGAGAAUGCGUGCAGUCCCGGCGGAGGAGGCAGGCGACGGAGCAGGGCUGGGCGGAGGUGGAUGUGGCGGCGGCGUAA
rnacentral:rRNA from 1 species